GAGACAGCAGUAGCCACGGUAAUACGAAGGGGGCUAGCGUUGCUCGGAAUUACUGGGCGUAAAGGGAGCGUAGGCGGACAUUUAAGUCAGGGGUGAAAUCCCAGAGCUCAACUCUGGAACUGCCUUUGAUACUGGGUGUCUUGAGUGUGAUAGAGGUAUGUGGAACUCCGAGUGUAGAGGUGAAAUUCGUAGAUAUUCGGAAGAACACCAGUGGCGAAGGCGACAUACUGGAUCAUUACUGACGCUGAGGCUCGAAAGCGUGGGGAGCAAACAGGAUUAGAUACCCGGGUAGUCCCUGUCUCUUAUAC
rnacentral:rRNA from 1 species